UUGGCUACAUGGAUGGCAUACAAAUUGUUGAGGAAAGUUUAUUUUCGUUUUGUGCUCCAUGCUGUUGUUGAUUUCCUUUCGCAUUCGGGGGAAUUCAAUUUUUCAAAAACACAGAAGAACAACCAAGACAAAUAAUUCUAAAUUUUAUGAUGAAAUUUUGAUGAAGGCUGUGUUGUGGCCAAUGUGAUGUGGGACGGGGGACGUUUCGUUUAAUGUGAGAUUUAUCGUUUUGUCGUGAUACUGCGUUAAAUUGCGAACAAUUAAUUGCAUUAAUAAUGGCAGCAAACAGACACACAUACACAUGGCCUAAGUGGGGCUACCCAUCAUCCCACACAAACACCUCACACGCAACUGUAGGAGCAGCCAAACGAGGCGGCUAUCUGAUACAUGCACAAAUAUCUACAACACAAUACAAUACAAAGGCACUAUCAUGCAAAUUGAAUAUUGUGGGGAGGUGAGUAAAUAAAGCAAAUUAUGAUGCGCCAUUGGGGAGAGAGAGAGCACGAGC